GAGGGAUGUGGAAUUUGCCAAAAAUAGUGGGUGGUACUAUUUGAUUCAAAGACCCAAUCAAAUAGCUUUAAACAAACAAUCUAAUACGAUUUCUGUUAUGUUAUGUAGUGAACGACAUGCCUAAAAUUAUACCCACCAUUAUACUUGACAAAAAGGGCCUUAAGGGCCAACGUUUCCUUGCUUGGUAUCGCCACAUUGAGAAUGUCUCAAAGGUUAAUGACAUAUUGUAUGUGCUUAAGCA
rnacentral:lncRNA from 1 species